rnacentral:lncRNA from 1 species
GUCAACGGGCCCUGUACGAGCUUUUUGUGGUAAGUUUUUUUUCACAUUAGCCAAAUCAUGUGUGUAAUGUUUGUUUCAUUACUAACUAAUACGACCUACUCUUCAGGGUUUGUGCGAGAAGAGUGGUCAAGUCCCUCCGCCGAUGCCCGUCUUCUCUUCGAUUGGCACGGUGAGUUUCAUUAUAAACUAGUAUUAAUAAUUGAGUGUCAUCAUGCUAACUGAGACAUUGCAAAAUAUCUAUUCUGCAGAAUAACUCCCGAGCGGCAUCGCACGACCCAUCUCCAGGUGUUUCUCCUCCUUGAUGACCACUACGGUAAGUUUCUCAUCUCCUCUUUCAUAUUCCCCUUGCCAUAAAAUUUCCCCAACAUUGACAUACUUAGCCAAUUUAGCUCCAAAAACACAUAGUUAGCUAAUUUAGAGCCAAUAAGAGGAUAAGAGGAGAAGAAAUAGGAAAAAUGAAAAGAAAGAAGAAGAAAAAAAAGUAGAAGUAGGAGGAGGAGGAGGAGGAGGAGAAGGAGGAGAAGGCAAAGGACCUUCUAGUCCUUCUCCUCCUCCUCCUUCUCCUCCUUCUUCUUUAUUUCUUCUUCUUCUCCUCCUCCUCCUCUUUCUUCUCCUCUUUCAUAUUCUCCUUGCCUUAAUUUCCCCAACAAUGACAUAAUUAGCCCAUUUAGCUCCAAAAUGCCAUAAUAACCUCAAAAUGGCAUAAGAACCUUGGUUAGCUCAUUAAUAUUAUAUACUUAGCUUGUUUUCCUCUAAAAUGGGAUAAUUAGCCCAUUUAGCUCCAAAAAGACAUAGUUAGCUAAUUUAGCUCCAAGAAGAGGAGAAGAGGAGAAAUGAAAAGAAGGAAGAAGAAGAAGAAGAGAAGAAGAAGAGAAGGAGAAUGAGAUGGAGAAGAAGAAGGAGGAGGAGGAGAAGAAGAGAAGAAGAAGGAGAAGGAGGAGGAGAAGGAGAAGGAGCCCUCCUUCUUCUCCUUCUUCUUCUCUACUCCUUCUUCUCCUCCUUCUCCUUCUUCUUCUCUUCUUCUUUUUUCUUCUUCUCCUCCUCCUUCUCCUUCUCCUUCCCCUUCCCCUCCUCCUCCUCCUCCUCCUUCUUGUUUUUCUUCUCCUUAUUCUCUUCUUGCUUCUUCUCUUUCUUAUUCAAUUUAGCUUAUUUGUAAUAUAUAUGUUGUUUUUCUUCUUCUUCUAACUUUCUUAUUCCCAUUUUGCAGAUUGGAUGUACUACAUGCAUGGAAGCGGGCAUUGGAGUGCUUUAGUUUCCAUUUUUAUUUGAGUUGAUGAACAAUGUGAAACUAUAUGUAUAUGUAUAUAUGAAUAACAAUAUAUGUGCAACUAUAUGUAUGUAUAUAUGGAUGAAACUUUGUAUGUGUUGGUUCUUUUGAUAUAUGGGAUGUACGUUGAUGAACAAAUGGCAUUGAUGAGCUUUAUAUGUAUAUCAUAUAUGUGUUGUG